rnacentral:rRNA from 1 species
CACGUAGGAGGCGAACGUUAUCCGGAUUUAUUGGGCGUAAAGCGCGUGUAGGUGGUUCUGUAAGUAGGGCGUGAAAGCUCCGCUCAACUGGAGAGGUCGUUCUAUACUGCAGAGCUAGAGGAUGGUAGAGGGAGGUGGAAUUCCAGGUGUAGCGGUGGAAUGCGCAGAUAUCUGGAGGAACACCAGUGGCGAAGGCGGCCUCCUGGACCAUUCCUGACACUCAGACGCGAAAGCUAGGGUAGCAAACGGGAUUAGAUACCCGCGUA